rnacentral:rRNA from 1 species
UAGGGAAUCUUCCGCAAUGGGCGAAAGCCUGACGGAGCAACGCCGCGUGAGUGAUGAAGGUCUUCGGAUCGUAAAACUCUGUUAUUAGGGAAGAACAAAUGUGUAAGUAACUAUGCACGUCUUGACGGUACCUAAUCAGAAAGCCACGGCUAACUACGUGCCAGCAGCCGCGGUAAUACGUAGGUGGCAAGCGUUAUCCGGAAUUAUUGGGCGUAAAGCGCGCGUAGGCGGUUUUUUAGGUCUGAUGUGAAAGCCCACGGCUCAACCGUGGAGGGUCAUUGGAAACUGGAAAACUUGAGUGCAGAAGAGGAAAGUGGAAUUCCAUGGGUAGCGGUGAAAUGCGCAGAGAUAUGGAGGAACACCAGUGGCGAAGGCGACUUUCUGGUCUGUAACUGCCGCUGGUGUGCGAAAGCGGGGGGAUCAAACAGG